UUGCUGUUGUUGUUUUUGGUUUUAUGAGACAGGGUUUCACUAUGUAGGCCAAGCUAGCCUUGAACUCACAGUCCUCCUGCCUCAGCCUCCUAAGAUUAUAGGCACGUGUUACCUCACCUCAUCCUGGCAUUAGUUUGUUUUUGUUUUUGUUUUUUGAGGUAGAAUUCCACUAUGUAGUUCAUGUUGGCCUUGAUCUCACUAGAAGCCCAGGCUGGGUUUGAGCUCAUGGCAAUCCUCCUGCCUCAGUCUCCUGAGGGCUGGGAUUAUAGGUGUGUGCCACCAUGCUUGGUCUAGCCUGUUUUUUGACUGUUUUAUCCACAGACCCUAAAACAAAGUGACUGUCACACUGUCACAAAGUAGGAACUCAAAUGUGUGAAUGAGUGAGUGAACAUGUAAGCUACCCUAAUGGUUACUCACUAAACAUACUAGACUUAUGAGGGAAGUAUCAGCCCAUGGACAAAUGCAGUGGUGAUGAAUUUCAUUUGUGGACAUGCAGCCGACAUGCAGGGGCUGCAUGACCAACCAUGACAGGCAUCCGGGCACAGCGCACACGUAGAUACACUGAGUGACAGAGCGCACACAACCUGAGAUGCUAACAUGGAGGCUCAGGCUUCGAACCUGAAGAACCCACUUCACAUCCCAGGGCAGUGGGCGUGGUGGCAUAUGUCUGUCAUCUCAGUACUGGGGAGGCUGAGGCAGGAGGAUCCUGGGGAGGUGUGUGGGGAAUCUGUUCAGUCCACCCUGGACUUCCUAGGAGAGUUCUGACCUCCAGGACUCUGUGUCACCAUUGGGUCCUAAGUCCCAGUUGGGCGAGGGGAAUAGAGGAGUCACACUCGAGGACGAAGUCUGUGUUUUGGAGAUGGAGCCCAUUUCUCGCUAUUUAAGAACCUGUGCUAGGUUCACGAAUUACACUUUUGGUUUUCGAAUCAGGCAGAAUUGCUUUGAAGGACAUAGAAGGCAAGAACUCAUGGAAACGGAAAGGAGAGAAAUGCUGGCAGAGGAGCUGCUCCAGUGACCUCGGGGGCUGGAGGACUUGGGGACCCCCCCAGCAGCAGGUUGGAGCAGGUAGAAAGAGGUGCUGAAGCAUUUCCCAAGGUGGAGGGCCUUCGGAAGUGUC
rnacentral:lncRNA from 1 species